rnacentral:rRNA from 1 species
AGGGUGCGUAGGCGGUUUUUUAAGUCAGUAGUGAAAUCUUAAAGCUUAACUUUAAAAUUGCUAUUGAUACUGAAAAACUAGAGUUAGUUUGGAGUAGCUGGAAUGUGUGGUGUAGCGGUGAAAUGCGUAGAUAUCACACAGAACACCAAUAGCGAAAGCAAGUUACUAAGCCUAUACUGACGCUGAGGGCACGAAAGCAUGGGGAGCAAACAGGAUUAGAUACCCUGGUAGUCCAUGCUGUAAACGAUGAUCACUAACUAUUGGGUUUUGUACUUUUGUACGUUGUAAUUCAGUGGUGAAGCGAAAGUGUUAAGUGAUCCACCUGAGGAGUACGACCGCAAGGUUGAAACUCAAAGGAAUUGACGGGGGCUCGCACAAUCGGUGGAGCAUGUGGUUUAAUUCGAUGAUACGCGAGGAACCUUACCAAGACUUAAAUGUACUACGAAUAAAUUGGAAACAAUUUAGUCUAGCGACGGAGUACAAGGUGCUGCAUGGUUGUCGUCAGCUCGUGCCGUGAGGUGUAAGGUUAAGUCCUUAAACGAGCGCAACCCUUAUUAUUAGUUGCCAUCGAGUAGUGUCGGGGACUCUAAUAAGACUGCCGGCGUAAGCCGAGAGGAAGGCGGGGACGACGUCAAAUCAUCACGGCCCUUACGUCUUGGGCCACACACGUGCUACAAUGAUCGGUACAAAAGGGAGCGACUGGGUGACCAGGAGCAAAUCUAGAAAGCCGAUCUCAGUUCGGAUUGGAGUCUGAAACUCGACUC